GCUCAGGACGAACGCUGGCGGCGUGCCUAAUACAUGCAAGUCGAGCGGACAGAUGGGAGCUUGCUCCCUGAUGUUAGCGGCGGACGGGUGAGUAACACGUGGGUAACCUGCCUGUAAGACUGGGAUAACUCCGGGAAACCGGGGCUAAUACCGGAUGSUUGUUUGAACCGCAUGGUUCAGACAUAAAAGGUGGCUUCGGCUACCACUUACAGAUGGACCCGCGGCGCAUUAGCUAGUUGGUGAGGUAACGGCUCACCAAGGCRACGAUGCGUAGCCGACCUGAGAGGGUGAUCGGCCACACUGGGACUGAGACACGGCCCAGACUCCUACGGGAGGCAGCAGUAGGGAAUCUUCCGCAAUGGACGAAAGUCUGACGGAGCAACGCCGCGUGAGUGAUGAAGGUUUUCGGAUCGUAAAGCUCUGUUGUUAGGGAAGAACAAGUGCCGUUCAAAUAGGGCGGCACCUUGACGGUACCUAACC
rnacentral:rRNA from 1 species